GUCGCGCAGGGUGGCACGUGCCUGUAGUCCCAGCUACUCAGGAGGCUGAGGCUGGAGGAUCUCUUGAGUCCAGGAGUUCUGGGCUGUAGUGCGCCAUGCCAAUCAGGUGCCCACACUAAGUUCGGCAUCAAUAUGGUGACCUCCCAGGAGCGGGGGGGCCACCAGGUUGCCUAAGGAGGGGUGAACCGGCCCAGGUCAGAAACGGAACAGGUCAAAACUCCUGUGCUCAUCAGUAGUGGGAUUGCACCUGUGAAUAGCCACUGCACUGCAGCCUGGGCAACAUAGCAAGACCCCAUCUCU
rnacentral:SRP_RNA from 1 species